rnacentral:ribozyme from 1 species
UGUCCAGUAACUCCUAUCCCUACCUCCCCGUGGUGCCGCCUGGGAUACGAGUAUCCUUAGGGAAGA